CAGUACUGUGCUCAAGGCACUGGGUGAUAUAUAAGACCCAUAGAGUCUUGCUUCAACUAGCUUGCACUAAAGAAUCUGAAUGCAGAGAAACAACAGAGCCUGAAAUAAGUCAUCAGCUGAGCACUGUCACCAAGACCCACGUCACCUAAUGAGCAGUCCAUCUUCCAGCGAGGGUCCAUCUGUCCCGGGCCAGGUCUCCAUAUAUGGCAGCAGCACACUGCCCAAAUGGCUGAAAUGAAAUGGUGUUAUUCCACUGGAAAAAUAUUGACUAUAAAAUCCUGACCUUGGAAAGUGGACCUGAAGAGAGACUCACAUUUAUUUCCAGUGUGUUGGAUGACUGUGACUCUAACUAAAUGGAACAAUGUCUUCAUCCAUUUUUGGUACUCAGGUUCUCUUCCUGCUUCUCUGUUAUGUUUUGAAGCAACUGAGAGACCCUCAACAGAGGCCAAACAGAUGUAGCCACUCAUCUUAGAAUUUUGGCCUCCAAAACUGUUUCAAGUGGGUUGCCACCACAGAUAUGCAGCAUUCUGGGAACAAUGGAUGGGUCAAAGUGAAACCCAUCAGGAAGCACCAUUUCUCACCCAAAAUGGCCACAGGUUAGAAAGGAAAUUCAAUCAAGGCACGUCAGAAUUUUUCACUAGAUAUUUUCCAAUGGUUUCUGGAACGAUAGAAAUCCUCUCUCACCUUAAGAAAUAAGAACUCGAAACUGGGUGAGGCAGCUACCUUUCCUCUCUAGGGGAGAAAGCCAGUUGCAAACAAAAGAAACAAGGC
rnacentral:lncRNA from 1 species